rnacentral:rRNA from 1 species
UACGUAGGGACCGAGCGUUGUCCGGAACCAUUGGGCGUAAAGAGCGUGUAGGCGGCUUGUUAAGUCUUGCGUGAAAUCUCGGGGCUCAACCCCGAGCGGUCGUGAGAAACUGGCAGGCUAGAGUGCGGGAGAGGAGAGUGGAAUUCCUGGUGUAGCGGUGAAAUGCGCAGAUAUCAGGAAGAACACCCGUGGCGAAGGCGGCUCUCUGGAACGCAACUGACGCUGAGACGCGAAAGCGUGGGGAGCAAACAGG